CCCAGAGGCGGGCCUAGAGGAACGGGACGCAAGCGCCGCGGAGUCCAGCAGGCGUGGCAGGCUCUACGCCUGCGCAGUUCCAGUUUUGCGUAUACGUUAACCACCUGAUUUGGGCUUGGUUCUCAGCACCCAAAUGACUGCUGACAACUCCACUUCCAGGAGAGUCCAAUUCCCCCUUGUGGCUCUGGGGAGUACUGCAUGUUAUAAAAGCUGAAACCCUACUCUUUGUCUGUCCUAACAUACAAGAUCUUUGGAACAACCAAUCCCCUUAGGAACUCUGGAGGAAUGAAGGUUUUCACCAGAGUUUGACAAGAUGCAUGGGGAAAAUAUCUUUCCUGAAGGAACAAAUACAAAUGUUGCCUCUGUGCUAAUUAGAAAACCUGAACACUUGCAACAUUGCACUUGGGAGAAGGAGGCAGAGAGGAGGGUUCAGCCACCUCACUCACACAAUGGAAACAAAGUAAACAAGGUGUGGAGUGGAACACAAGAAGCUAGACACACAGCUCACCCAAAUCCAAGGACAGUCUGGUCUACAUAGUGAGUUCCAGGUCAGCCCCAGCUACAAGCAGCAAGAUCCAAACAAGACAAAGCCUGGUAUGGUGGUGCACACUUUAAUCCCAGCACUCCCGAGGCAGAUCUCUAAGUUUGAGGCCAGUCUACACACAGGUUCCAGGACAGCCAGGGCUGCAGAGUCCCAUCAGACCCUCCCCACAGCCCCAUUAACACUGGGCCAGCACUUCCAGUCUACAGUUUAUUGGGUUUAUAACUGGACAAAGUCACACGUGUACAAAACGAAGCUCAUACUAUCCCAAAGCAGAGUAGGGACUAAUGACUGGGGAUCCGUUACUGGCCGUUGGGGGAGCUCUGAGGUAAGGGUAUUCAACCUUCCCACUGCAGAGGUGUGGCCACAGGGUAGAGAGAAGAGGGGACCACCUGGCUUUGGUCACAAAACUCAGGGCCUGGCACUAAGCCAGGACAGACAGACAGAAGCCUCAAAAACCACCCUCCCAGGAAGCUAGGGACUGCCUGACCAGUCCCACUGUGAUGUGGCCGGUUCAGACCUAUACUCAGGGGCUAUUGGGAAGGGAAGGAGGCAGAGCAGGAGGGAGGAACGACACUGGUGAGCGGUCACUGGGGGUGCUUGGACCUGUGGAAAGGGUGGGCAGGAUGUGGGCCAGCCGCAGCGGGGCAGCUAGCAGCGGGUUUCGUAAAUGCCACUUCGGCCAAUGUAGCGCACCCAUUUGAUGACAUCGUGGUCGCUGUAGUUCAGCUUCGGCUCAAAUACCUUCAAGUAGCGCACCUUGAGGCCAGAAGGCGCAAAUGGCACCU